rnacentral:rRNA from 1 species
GACGAACGCUGGCGGCGUGCUUAACACAUGCAAGUCGAACGGAAAGGCCCUGCUUUUGUGGGGUGCUCGAGUGGCGAACGGGUGAGUAACACGUGAGUAACCUGCCCUUGACUUUGGGAUAACUUCAGGAAACUGGGGCUAAUACCGGAUAGGAGCUCCUGCUGCAUGGUGGGGGUUGGAAAGUUUCGGCGGUUGGGGAUGGACUCGCGGCUUAUCAGCUUGUUGGUGGGGUAGUGGCUUACCAAGGCUUUGACGGGUAGCCGGCCUGAGAGGGUGACCGGCCACAUUGGGACUGAGAUAAGGACCAGACUCCUACGGGAGGCAGCAGUGGGGAAUAUUGCACAAUGGGCGGAAGCCUGAUGCAGCAACGCCGCGUGCGGGAUGACGGCCUUCGGGUUGUAACCCGCUUUCGCCUGUGACGAAGCGUGAGUGACGGUAAUGGGUAAAGAAGCACCGGCUAACUACGUG